AGUGAACGCUGGCGGUAGGCCUUACACAUGCAAGUCGAACGGCAGCACAGUAAGAGCUUGCUCUUACGGGUGGCGAGUGGCGGACGGGUGAGGAAUACAUCGGAAUCUACUUUUUCGUGGGGGAUAACGUAGGGAAACUUACGCUAAUACCGCAUACGACCUACGGGUGAAAGCAGGGGAUCUUCGGACCUUGCGCGAUUGAAUGAGCCGAUGUCGGAUUAGCUAGUUGGCGGGGUAAAGGCCCACCAAGGCGACGAUCCGUAGCUGGUCUGAGAGGAUGAUCAGCCACACUGGAACUGAGACACGGUCCAGACUCCUACGGGAGGCAGCAGUGGGGAAUAUUGGACAAUGGGCGAAAGCCUGAUCCAGCCAUACCGCGUGGGUGAAGAAGGCCUUCGGGUUGUAAAGCCCUUUUGUUGGGAAAGAAAAGCGGCAGGUUAAUACCCCGCUGUUCUGACGGUACCCAAAGAAUAAGCACCGGCUAACUUCGUG
rnacentral:rRNA from 1 species